ACACAACUUAGCAUAAAACAAGACACAACACAAAAACAGAAAGAUAUACAACAAGGCAAAACAACAGGGUAUAAAGUGAAAAAAAUAUAAAUUAGAACAGACACAACCAUUAAGAACAGUAAAAGCAGUAUUAAACUAGGGGGAAACAAUAAGUAAAAUUCAUAUAUGUUAAUGUUAAUAAUACAGUUUGUAACUCUAUGGAUACAUACAAAGACACAACAUGCUGAUGUCUUUGAACCCUAAUAAGCUUUAAAUCAACUUCAAACAUUAUCUAAUAUACGGUAUACAGUACCUGUGCUGACUGACUGUAUCUGGCAACCUGUGCUAUAAUAGCUGGAGACGCUGCAGAGAAGUACUGGGUGGAUGGAAAAGCUGUCAAGAAGCAUAUACUCUGUUUGAGUACAUAUCAAAUUAUUGAGAUACAACAUGUUUAUCGGUGAUCUUUAGAGGGGAUAGCAGAGACGGAGACCAGAUUAGGAGAACCAGGUUAGCUGUUUUCCUCUGCUUUCACUAUUUAUGCUACCAUGUCCUGAUUACAGCUCUGUACUUUUUUCAUCUUCUCUUCCCUAAAACGCUAAAACUUCCUUUUAGUCUUUACUUUCUUUUGAGUGGGAGCAUAACAUGUUUAAGACACAACAUUUGUGUAUUUAGUUAUUAAGGCAUAUUAUUAUUACUUGAGAUGCUAAGCUUUUCAGUUCUCUCAAUAACUGUCAGAUUAUGAGAUUCACUUAGUCAUGAUCUUGAGAUAAUGGGGUCCCAAUUAAAUUACCAUGUGCAAUCUUUGAAUCAGGGCUAUAGAUCUCAAACCCAGCUACGGAUAAUCUUAAACAUAAUGCCGUAGCCUUAAAUACCAUCAUACAAUUAAUUCCGAUACACAGAAAAGACAGUGAUGCAGCAUUGGAGGGUGAUAGUUGGGUGUUAUUGCAGUUGCUUUGUAUCUCUCUCUCUCUCUCUCUCUCUCUCUCUCUCUCUCUCUCUCGCUCUCUCUCUAAAUCUACCUUUCUCUCCUCCCUCUCCCCCAACCAGUCAAGGCAGAUGGCCGCGCACCUAAAGCCAGGGUCUCUUGAGGUUUCUCUCUGUUGAAAGGAAAUUUUUCCUUGGGGCCGUCGCACUUGCUUGGGGGAAUUGUUGGGUCUCUGUAAAUUAUAGUGUGGUAUAGUUUAACUAAAUACAAAUGUGAGGUGUGGAAAUCAGUAACAUCAGUAGUGUUCAUGUGGAUGUGUGUAAAAUGUGUGUAGGAUGCUGUAAUGUAAAAAGGAACAACAGAACUUUUAUUUCCUGUUGAGCACCAGGCCCCGGUGCUCCAAAUCAUGCUGCGUCAGCUGCUACCUUUUUUUUAACACAGUUAUGCAUUAGGUAAGUAAGUCAUACACAAAGACAGGUAUCCAGAGUACACUGACAAGCAUGCAACAGGUGCAGGUGGUCACAGGAUGCAGUUCACCAUUUUUUUUUUUAUCUCAUGACCAAAUAGGCAAAUUCAGGCACACUAUGUACCAACAACGUGAUGAAUGAUGUCACACCAAACCAUUGACCUGCCCACUGUAUUUUAGCAAUCAUAGUGGGCAACUCUUGAUAACUUUAUUUAUCAUUGGAGACUCAACUUUAUUCCAGUAGGCAAAAGUCUGUUGCUUUGCAGUUAUGUAGCUUUUACAAGGGGAUGAGAACAUGGGCGUAAGCAGAGUUUAGGAAAUACCGAGGUCCAAAGACUGACCGUACUAGGGUGGUCUUUCUAUAGGAUUUCCCUGAUCUAAAUAUGUGCGUUUUAAGAUUCUGGAGAGCAAAAAUUGGAUAACAAUAGUU